CAAUAGCGUAUAUUAAAGUUGUUGCAGUUAAAAGCUCGUAGUUGGAUUUCGGAGCGGAACUCAUGGUCCGCCUUUUUGGGUGUGCACUGUGCUGUUCUGUUCUUCUUCUCGUGGAGCGUGUGUGCUCUUCAUUGAGUGUGCACGUAACUCGGGACUUUUACUUUGAAAAAUUAGAGUGUUCAAAGCAGGCCUUGGCUUGAAUACAUUAGCAUGGAAUAAUGAAAUAGGACUUUGGUUCUAUUUUGUUGGUUUUCGGAACCAAGGUAAUGACUAAUAGGGACAGUUGGGGGCAUUCGUAUUCAAUUGUCAGAGGUGAAAUUCUUGGAUUUAUGGAAGACGAACAACUGCGAAAGCAUUUGCCAAGGAUGUUUUCAUUAAUCAAGAACGAAAGUUGGAGGUUCGAAGACGAUUAGAUACCGU
rnacentral:rRNA from 1 species